rnacentral:rRNA from 1 species
UGGGGAAUAUUGCACAAUGGGCGCAAGCCUGAUGCAGCCAUGCCGCGUGUGUGAAGAAGGCCUUCGGGUUGUAAAGCACUUUCAGCGAGGAGGAAGGUGGUGAGCUUAAUACGCUCAUCAAUUGACGUUACUCGCAGAAGAAGCACCGGCUAACUCCGUGCCAGCAGCCGCGGUAAUACGGAGGGUGCAAGCGUUAAUCGGAAUUACUGGGCGUAAAGCGCACGCAGGCGGUUUGUUAAGUCAGAUGUGAAAUCCCCGGGCUCAACCUGGGAACUGCAUUUGAAACUGGCAAGCUAGAGUCUCGUAGAGGGGGGUAGAAUUCCAGGUGUAGCGGUGAAAUGCGUAGAGAUCUGGAGGAAUACCGGUGGCGAAGGCGGCCCCCUGGACGAAGACUGACGCUCAGGUGCGAAAGCGUGGGGAGCAAAACAGGAUUAGAUACCCUGGUAGUCCACGCUGUAAAACGAUGUCGAUUUUGGAGGUUGUGCCCUUGAGGCGUGGCUUCCGGAGCUAACGCGUUAAAUCGACCGCCUGGGGAGUACGGCCGCAAGGUUAAAAACUUAAAUGAAUUGACGGGGUCAUAGCUGUUUCCU